rnacentral:tRNA from 1 species
CGGGCGCGGUGUCCCCGGCGGGUCGGCGGCGUUCCAGGCCGCCGGGCGGUCCGGCCGGUUCCUGCCGGGCCGCGCCCGGC